UCUUGGAGCUCGUCUGCCGGCGGCUCAUUCUGGCCUUGGCUUCGGCCCCGGCUACGUCCGCCGAGCGCAGGCUGCACCGCCCCGGCGUACCCGCUCUCCGGCAGGCUCUCGGCGCGUCGCGCGGUCGCCUGCUUGCCCAGCACCUCUUGCCCCAGUUCCCAGGAGCGGGGAUGCAGAUGCUGCUAAUGGUCCGGGUGGGCGCCGCUGCUGCCGCUGCUGGCUUUCCCGGGACUGCUUGUUGCCUCCGCUCCGGCAGCUGCUGCUGCUGCCUGUGACUCGCCCCCUCCCUUUUCUUUCUUCUCUUUUUGCCUCCGUCCUCUUUCUCUGGUUGUGCGCGCGCGCGGGUUGCACGGUUUGCUUUGGCAGGAGCUCUCUCGUGUGUGCGCGUGUGAGUGUGCGUGUCUGGAGAGCGCCAGAGCCUUGCUCGCUCUCUGGGAGUCGAAGAAGAGAAAGAACCGAAGAGGCGGCGGCGGCGGCGCGGAGCCUGGGGCCGCGCAAUGAAGCUCCCACAUGCCCGCAGCUGCCGGGUCCGGCCGGCGAGCUAAUCAGCCAACCCCCGGGCUUGGGGCUCUGCGGCCCCCGGGACGCAGCCCUCAGCUGCCCGGCGCCGGCUCCGCCUGCGCGCCCCAGCUGUGCACUGGGGAAGGAGUUUGCGUGGCCCUCGCUCCCGGUCUCAGCACAGGGUGCGGACACCAGAGGAGACUCUCAGCUGGGAGAGAACCUCGGGAGAAGAAGAAAGAGGAGGGUUUGGCGGAGAAGAACCCACCCCUGGCCCUCGUGGCUGCCCCUACCUAUUCCAUCGAUCUCGCUUCCAGACGGAAAGGAGAGGGAAAGGAAGAAGAAGAAAAAGAAAGAGAAGGGGGUGGGGUGGGAGAACUGGAUAUAAAGACCGGCUGGGGGGAUGGUGGAAGAUUUUUGGUCUCUUCAGCAGCGUCUUUUCUUAAGCGGCGGCGGCGGCGGCAGCAGCAGCAACAGCAGCAGCAGCAGCAGCAGCAGCAGCAGCAGAAGCAGAAGCAGAAGCAGCCCCAGCUAUGACUGCCGCAUGUUAAUAGCUGCCGCUCGGGUCCCUCGGCUGCUGCUGGAGACAGAGCCUGACUCCGAAGUUGUGCAACUGUGGACUGGGAGAGACAUUUGAACCCUCCUCUCUCUUGGCUCCGUUUUUACCCCUUCAGUGCGUGUGAAGAUAGGAAACGUAAAGGAAGACGAGCAUUUGGUUCUUCUUCUUUUUUUUUUUUUUUUCCCUUCCCCUUUCUCCGUGGCUGUGUAGCAGAAGAAAAGGAGGAAAGAGAGACUUUUUGUUGUUUCCUUGGCUGGGGUAUCCACCCUCCUGCUGCCUCUCUGAGCUUUGGUUAUCAUCCUUUGCCGCGUGUGGUGGGGGUGUCUUCACUGGGGCCGGUCGGUAUUUUGCCCCGGGCUCUAUGGCUGGAUUGUGGAAACUGCACCCGGCUGCAGGUUGUUGAGCAACUGAUGGGACAAUCUCAGGGACCGGCGGUUACGAAAGUGUCAUCCUCUGGAGGGGGCUGAAAGGCAGACCAGGGGGCGCCUUCUCUACGCCUCCUGGGAGCCAGCGCUGAAGGCGGGAGCAGGCUGGAGGACCGACAGACACCGGGAUAUGUAUUAAAGUCUACACUUGCAAAUAUUUCUGAAGAUUAAAGCAUACUUGUCCUCUCAUUUUGGAAGAUCUAAUCACCAUGAUUCCCAGUUCUUACAUUAGAAGAUUUGAUCAGAUCUGUUCUUUGUUUCCUAGCAGCAUGUGUUUCCUAGCAGUCAUACAUUCCACAGGUCCUGAUGUCAUUAGAACUGUGUCUGUCAGUGUAUUGUGCUGUCUUUAGCUGAAGGUGAAUGUGUCAGAGUGCUUGAAUGCCAUUCAUUAGCACUUUAUCACUGAAUAUUCAAUAACCUGCUCCAUUGAUGUAUAUGGUUAACUGGACUAUUUCUAUGAACUCGGGGUAGAAGGAAUGUUUAGUAUAAAGGUUUAUGUGAACUAUAUCCAUUUUUUAGAAAGACAUGUUAGGCUGCAUCAGGCAUCAUUGGCCUGGAGUGAUAAGCCCACAUGUGUUUUGCCUGAUGGAGAAUUGCUUUUGAUGUCUUCUUUUAAGUUGCUUGGUGUGAUUAUCCUUCAAGUUGAGAGUGCUCUCAAAAUAUGAAUGGAGGGUCUUUUAGAAAUGAUUUUCUUCAUAAUGAUCUUCUUACAUUUUGGAGAUUUAACUAUUCCUUUCACUAGGAAUAAUAGUAUGAGAAUUACUAGUUCCAGCUAUUGUGCCUGGCAUUGUUUCUACCAAUUAGGAAAGGCAAAAUUUUGAUAAACUUGAUUUACGUUUGGUGAGCAAUAGCCAAGGAAAUCCUCAAUAGAAGACAAAAAAAAAAAAAA